CCUACGGGUGGCAGCAGUGAGGAAUAUUGGUCAAUGGGCGAGAGCCUGAACCAGCCAAGUCGCGUGAAGGAUGAAGGACCUAUGGUUUGUAAACUUCUUUUAUAUGGGAAUAAAGUGAGGAACGUGUUCCUCUUUGUAUGUACCAUAUGAAUAAGCAUCGGCUAACUCCGUGCCAGCAGCCGCGGUAAUACGGAGGAUGCGAGCGUUAUCCGGAUUUAUUGGGUUUAAAGGGUGCGUAGGUGGUUAGUUAAGUCAGCGGUGAAAGUUUGUGGCUCAACCAUAAAAUUGCCGUUGAUACUGGUAAACUUGAGUAUAUUUGAGGUAGGCGGAAUGCGUGGUGUAGCGGUGAAAUGCAUAGAUAUCACGAAGAACUCCGAUUGCGAAGGCAGCUUACUGGACUAUAACUGACGCUGAGGCACGAAAGCGUGGGUAUCAAACAGGAUUAGAUACCCUAGUAGUC
rnacentral:rRNA from 1 species